rnacentral:tRNA from 11 species
GGGGUUUUAGCUCAGCUGGGAGAGCGCCUGCCUUGCACGCAGGAGGUCAGCGGUUCGAUCCCGCUAAGCUCCACCA